AGUACGGGUUCCAUAUGAUAUUAGUCCUUGUCCGGACGAACUAACUAUCAGGUAUUGCUUUCUCGGGUUGAAAAGCCUAGAGUGGUAUCCGAUAGGAGCGUUGGUGUUCUUUGAUUGUUGGUCUAAGGCGAUCGGAAGUAUUCUGAGAACCUCAGAUCGACCAUCGAGGAACAUCGACCGUGUCAUUUCCGGUCAUCUAUGAUCGGGGGUGUCACAGACGUUGUGUUGCCGAAACAGAAAUUCUGGAUAUUUUAUUCCAAUGCCAUGGAUCCGACUACGCUGGACAUUUUGCAACCUUUAAAACGGUAUCAAAAAUUCUUCAAGCAUGAUUCUGGUGGCCAACCAUGUUUCGUGAUGCUCAUGCAUUCGUAGCACAAUACGACAGACAGAUGCCAACGAAGAGGAAAAAUCAGCAAAACACAUGAAAUGGAACAUAAAUCUAUUUUAGAUGUAGGAGUCUUUGAUUGCUGGGGGAUAGACUUCAAGGGUCCUUUCCCUUCCUCGUACGGGAACAAGUACAUCCUAGUUGCUGUUGAUUAUGUAUCCAAAUGGGUCGAAGCAGUAGCUUUCCCAACAAAUGAUGCAUCUGUAGUUAGCAUGCUUUUCAAGAGCAUUAUUUUCCGAGAUUUGGAGUUCCUCGAUUAGUCAUAAGUGACAGUGAUUCCCAUUUUAUCAACAAAGUUUUUGACAGAUUACUGCAGAAGAACGGAGUGCACGAUAGAGUUGCUACACUUUACCAUCCACAAAUAAGUGGACAAGUAGAAGUCUCAAAUCGACAGAUCAAAGAAAUCUUAGAAAAGACUGUAGGAACCUCUAGGAAAGAUUGGUCUAGAAAACUGGACAAUGCACUUUGGGCUUACCGGACUGCAAUCAAAACUUCACUAGGAACAACCCCAUUUCACCUACUCUAUGUAAAAUCUUGUCACUUACCAGUUGAGCUAGAACCCAAGGUAGCAUGGGCUAUAAAAUUAUUAAAUUGACAUUAAACCAGCUGCCGAAAGGAGACUCAUGUACCUUAACGAGCUGGAUGAAAUCAUACACUUAGCCUAUGAGAGCUCGAAGAUAUAUAAAGAGAAGACUAAAGCAUAUCAUGAUUAAAGGAUCAUCUCCAGACACUUCGAACCAAAUGAUCAAUUGCAGUUAUAUAACUCUCGGCUUACGCUGUUUCCCAGAUGUCGUUGGUCAGGUCCUUUCACUGUUGUGGAUGUCAAACCUUAUGGACCAUUACACUUAUAAAUAAUAAAGGAGAAGAAUUUACCGUGAAUGGACAAUGAGUGAAACAUUAUUGGGCUAAACCGCCAAGUAGCAUGCCUUUACAUUUAGGCCUUUACGUUUAGGCCUUCCUGAUCAUUAGACAUAUCGGAUCUUUAGUCAAGCUCAAAAGUUAAAAUAAGAGCUGAAUGGGAGGAAACCCAUUUCUAGUUUUAGAAUUUUUAGGAUUGAUGAUAUCACUCAAAUUAUCCUAAGGAGUGAUUUAUACUCUCUCAAAUAAGAGGUCGAGUUGUAGCACUUAGGGAUCGAAUUCACAAAGACCUAAGGCACACAAAAUAUCUAAUAGUUAUAUGAUUAAGCUAGACUAAUAGUUUAAAUGUAAAAAGCAGUGGUGAGCAAGGUAGUUGCUCAGUUGAUUGAUUGAGUUGUUUGAUGGAAGGAUGGUUGCUACAUUUAGGGUUUCUAUUCAGGUAAUCAUGAUUAUAAUGAUAUAGAGACUAAUUGUUGUAUGCAAGAUAUUAAAUAGCGCAAUACUUAUAAGAACAAAUCGAUCAGCAUUCGCUUUCUAGAUUUGUCUAUUAACUAGAUCUAAUGAUCUCAAUAAUCGUUUGUAGAUCAAUUAGAAAGUGUCGAUCGAUGAUUCUAGAGGAAUAUCGAUCGAUACACCUUUCACAACGUCGAUCAGUUAUUUUAUUGGAAUAUCGACUGACACGCUUCUAGCAAGCUUUGUGCGCGGGUUGAUGAAGUAUUCACUAGGGUUCCUAGAUCAGUUAUCACUUGUUUCUAACAAUCCUAGUUCAAUGAGGAUCUAUUUAGAGAAAAGACCAAGCUAUCACUUGUGCCUAAUGAUUCUAAGAUAAGGGUUCUAAUUCACGACUCUAGAACACGAGUAGUUAGAACAUCCUAUUGAUGAAUAUCACAACCUAGAAAUUCUAUAUUUCGGGCUAAUCCCUCAUAACCUAUUUGAACCCUAAACCUAACAGAUGGAUCUAUUCAGGCAUGAAGUUUGUCAUAGAAAUCAUAGAUGAAUAGAUAUAAAACUGCAAUAGAAUAGAUAUAAAAACCAAAGGAUUUUAAGGAGGACUCUGAAGGAGAUCCCCCUUUCUCUCAUAACCUAGAACAAUAAUAAAAAAGCAUGUCUGUCAACAAUGGCUUUGAAAUACAUAAAUAGGGUUUCUGGUCGUCCAUGGGUAUUCUGGUUACUUGAUGUAGCUUAUGGGCUUAACUUGGUCAUAAAAUAUGUUUGGCCCAUAUUCUGGCAUCACCGUCGAUCGAUGGAAAGGGUGCACCAUCGAUCGACAGUCCUUCAUCUCCUCGAAAGAUUCCUCUUGCGAGGCAGACUGAUCACUCUUCAGUAAAACGGGCAUAACUUCUGCUACAUGAUGCUGAUUGACCUCAGACUGGUGGAAUUGGAAAUCUAACUAAAGGAUCUAUCUUGUGUCAUAAGAUGGGCUCAAUCUAAGAGUGGGAAGGUAUCCAUUCAUAGCUAAAAAUCUGACGCAUCUGUGCCGCUCUGCACUCAAAAGGCUCCAAAAGACACCAAUACCACCACAUUCCUCCACAUCGUCCCUGAACCUGUAAAUACUCUAAAUAGACUCUAUAUAGUUGUAAAUAUAUAUUAAAGCACUUAUAAACCAUGGUUAAAACUGGAUAAAAUCCAUGGCCUAUAACCUCCCCCAGACUUACCUUUUGCUUGUCCUCAAGCAAAACACACAGGGCAGUCUUAUGAAAGAGGUUUGAAAACAGCAGGGACUCACAUAACUUAAAAUCACUACUCUCACUUCUGCAAAAUGAUAGGUGGAAGUGAAUCAUUACUCACCUUGGAUGCUUUAAAUAUACUACACACUAGCUUAGUCACCAUACCAUACAAUCACACAACACUACUGAUAGCGCCUGACGUACCCCUCUGUUGACCUCAUUUCUGCAUAAAUAUAGAUGUGUAGAGAGUAUCGAUCAAGGGACAUGGAAUCUUACUCAAGCAAGUUUCUGAACACACAUAUAGUCUUCUCUGAUUCCUUUCUUCCCUCUUUUUCUCUGUUCUCUGAAUCUUGAUGCUAAUGCAGUACAUCUUAUUCAUCUUAUUUGUUGUCUACUUUUGUAGAUCUAUUUGACAAAGUGCAGCGAAUACCGGGGUCACAGGAGACACUCUUACCCCUCGUUUCCACAAUGUGUUAUCAUUCCUUUCAGACUUAGAAUAAUGGGGUCACAGAAGACACUCAUACCCCUCUGUUUCUUCCAGGAAAUCAUUUCAAUCUUUUGUAUCUUAAGAUGCCGAAGACAGAGAGAGAAGGGAACCAAAAGCACACAGAUUUUUACCUUCCAGACUUGCAGGAGGACUCCUAUCCAAUGUAUACCAAGCCCCAAAACAAGCAAGUAGAGUAGAUUAAGGUUGGAAGUCAGCUUUGGUUUCUCCAGACAUUCUCAGCAGGUGUUGAUGUUAGAAUUACGUGAUACACUGCGGUGUUUCUAUCUAAUACAUCCUGCAAUUAGUAAAUCUAGAUGGUGCUAGAAAGUGAUUAGAGUAGCAAUCCAAUUCUAUUUGAUCAUAAUCCCCUUCUUGACUCGAUAAAAAUAUUUUUUUUUGUUUUUGAAAAUAUUUGAUAAAACUCACAAUAAACUAGAUACCAGUACACAUCCCCCCCAGACUUAAAUUACACUUUCCUAGUCUAUAUCCAGCCAGUCAGGGUUAUGAUGAGAACUAUAAGUACACAAUUUAACAAGUUAGAACGAUAUACAUGACCGGGUUUAGUGUUGAUCGAUGGGAAGGAGUUACCAUCGGUCGCUGCAGGUGAUGUACUGUCGAUCGAUAUCGACAUGCUCUCAUUGUUUGAUUUUAUAAUAGUCUAUUCGGAUCUCUUUUUUUUUCUAAAUACCUAACUAAAACACAAUAUUAGUAGAACCUCCCCCAAACUUAAACAACACUGUCACUAGCGAUAUAUAGUCUAAGAUUGGUGGGGAAAUAAACCAUAAAUACUAAAGUUAACAAGAUUUCGCGAGUAUACUUGCCAUUGAUGUGAGUAUCGAUCAACACAGUUUAGUGGCGAACGAUACAUGUGAUUCUCUGUUGAUCAAUACGCUGGCCAGCUGUCGAUCGAUGCUGGUGCAGAACUCGUGGACCUUAGAUCUUUUUUUUUUGUUUUUGAUGAACAGUACCUCUGCUCUAGUGUCGUCACUGUUCAUUUUUUUUUUGACUUGCAAUAAAUAUCAAACAAAAAUCAGUAAUAAUCUAAACUAAACUCGAUGAAAUUACCUAAUAGUGAGUUGCCUCCUACUCAGCGCUUUGUUAUAGUCAUUUAACUUGACUUUGGAGAUCUGAUUUAGUUCGGAUGAGAAUGAGAACAUGCUCCAAAACAAGUAUGAAUGUCUGCUUUCUGAAGCUUUUUCAUUCUUGUGUGAAAGCCUCCUCCAUAGACUCUUCUCCUUUGUCUAUCAUCUCAACAAUAAGGAGUGCACGAACCUUUGAGAAUGGCUGUGAGAAGCAUCUGCUGCGCACUCUGUACUUCCUGACGCCAUCUGUGAAGUGAAGAAUCAAUGAUGAUAUACCAUGGAUUUCACCCAUUUUUAGUCAUGGUAUUUAAGUGUUUUAAAAUAUAUUUUUCAUGUUUUAGAGUCUUUUCAAAGUAAUUACAGGUUCAGUUACUUGAUAGAAGGAAAUGAUGCUUUUGGGACACUUUGGAGUACUUUUACGCGUAGAGAAUCGAUCGACGCUUGAAGAGCAAUAUCGAUCGACCGGAGCCUAUUAAAAUCGAUCGACAGCCCUUCAGCGUCAUGGGAGGCUAUAUGUACAAGGAUUGUGUAUCAUGUUAGAGGUAGACUGGCCUAAAGACCUAUAUUUGGGAAGAAGCACUUUGGCUACCAUUAGAAGAACUUAGGAUUGGAGAGAUAGAUCUGAGACUGUAUAACAAAGAAGAUCUUGAACUCCUUUAUUUCUAUUACUCUUACUUUCUGUGUUCAAUAUUUCAUUUGAGUUUUAUUCAAACCAUCAUGACUUUGUCUCUCAUGAAUAUGUCUGAGUAAACCCAAUUGUUAGAUUUAGGUUUCUCGUAAAGGUUAAAAGUAUGUGUUGCUAAUAAGACUGUUAAAAAGGUGUUUUGAUUGUUGUUUCAUGCUUGUUAAGCUUAAAGCUAAAAUUAGGAUUGAUCACCCUCUUAUUAGAUCUUAAGAUUAAUUGAUAUAACCAACUGUUACCCUCAAUACCUGAAAUAGCCAGUGUCAUCUAACUGACUAGAUAACAACGAGAGUUGGAUUAAUUGAUUAGAGAACACUAAUCAAACCCGCUCGUAAAGCUUUCUAGAAGAAGCAUCGAUCGACGUGACAAUCGUUUUGGCGAUCGCUAUUUUGAAAGGUGUAUCGAUCGAUAUUUCUUUAAGAAUCAUCGAUCGACACUUUCUCGUGAUUUAUAUACGGAAGUUGAAAUCUGAGAUCUAGAUAUAGAUAAUCCAAUAGAUUUUACCCAAGUUUAAGUUCGAGAAGAAUUAAUACCAAUAAACCCCUAAUAACCAAAAUAAGUUGCUUACUUAUCAUACUUGAGAUAAUACCUGAAUCUAGCUAUUUCCCCAACUGUUAACGACCUCAAAUCAAACCAAUCGAACAACUACCUUGUUCACCACUUCAUUUACUUCUUAAAACUUAUUAAUCUAGCUUUAUUUCGAAGACAAUAAAUCUACAGUGUAAUCUUAGAGUCUAUGUGGAUAAGAUCCCUAAGUACUACAUCUGAACCUCUUAUUUGAGAGAGUAAUUCACUCAUUAGAGUAAUUUAAGUGAGAUCAGAAGUACAUCGGUGAAUUGUGUACCCGAUUUGUUGUGUUUCCUUUUUCCGCGAGUAAUCUAGGGUUUUUCCGAACGAUAUUUGGAAGAAGUACACCAGUGAGUUAUGUACCCGAUUUCUUGUGCUUCCUUUUCCCGCGAUUAACCUAGGGGUUUCCCGUGGUUUUGGAGAGAGAAAGAUUUAUUUUUCUGACAGGUUUUCGUAAAACAUCUUUUGGUGAAACCCUUAUGGGUUGAGACUUCUUUAGCUCGGUAAUGAGCCGAAUCUUACGGGGUUUGAUAAAAUUUAUUGUUGCCCUUUCUGUUUAGACAGGGAAAUCGCGAACUCGUUUUGGUGCACUUCUCGUGGCGAAAAGUCGCUACUAGGUUUUUGAUUGUGUUGAGCACUAUGGUGUUUGCGUUAGCGUUGGCCGUAGGAGCUGUCAGUGCUGCGAAUUUUUCUUUCAUAUUUCCAGACAUAGUUUCGAUCAAGCGUUUUGUGGCCAUGAGUAAGGGUAAUCCGUUGCCGCCCCCUCCUUCUAGCGCCAAACUGUGGGAACCGAAAUUCACACAGUCAAUUUCCGUACUCGCAGGAAAGUCAAGAGACCCUAUCUUUCCCUGAGGUCCCAGAUUCUGUGCGAGAGCCAACGACAAGUGACCAAAUAAAUGCGUAAAAUAUGAAAAGAUAACAAAAUGAAUUUAUAAAAAAAGGUAGAUCUUAUUUUUAAUCCGCAUGAGAGCGUUGCGAUCAUUACAAGAGAUUAUAAAAGCUUCGGCCGCAAGAGCUUUCAGAGAAUUACCUAGUUCUAGCAACCUAAACCCUUAAACCUAGGUUAGUCGCAGCUCGAUAACAAAAGACGAAAAAGGUUUUGAUUGAUUUCUGACUGAACCAUAUGAAAGACUGCCUACAUACCCCUUUCGAGGAUCCAGCCGAACGUAGUUCGAUUGAAAGAGUAGAAUAAGAGAUCGAACCGCCUUGUGAGUUUGUCUAGUAAUCGAUGGCCAGUCAUAAAAACUGAACAUGUCGAGAAUAAUGCCUGAAGUUUCUAAGUGCAGAGAGUUCUAAGAGAAAAUAAUUGUCCAUUUGCCUCUUCAACCUCGAUGUCCAUAUAUACUCCUCCUAGAGGCAGUUUGCUCUUUCCCUGUCUACCUUCGGUCAAGUUUAUCGCUUCGCAGAAAUAUUCCAUUUUUCUUCGAUCUUCGUGUUUAUCUUUAGAAACUUCACAUUUAUCCUUCGAACUUGACAAUUUUCUUCUCCUGCAGGAUAAAAGAUAAACCGUCAUAACGAUUGGGCUUGAUUUUGUAGAAAAUCGUGAGUGGGAUUUUAGCCGCGUUCUGGACCCGUUCGGGCUGUUUUCCGACUUAAGCAAUUUAACGAUUUAUCGAAAGAAUGCUUCUGAAACAACGUCGAUUCCGAAGAAAGUUCAAAUUUCUCGUAUAGUGGAGGCUGUACAAGGUGUUUAGUUAAACAUUGCCAUUUUAUACGAUCAAUUCAGAUAUCAUACCAGAUAACGAGUUCUUGCAGUUUUUAAAUCGCAAAGUUCCAAUGGUGACUACGACCGAGAUGAAACAAGAGCAAGUUUGUUCCGUUCCGAUCUCGAAGGAGGGAGCUACGAGGACGAGAUGAAGAUAGAUUAGUUGAUCCAACUCGCCAAACGAGCGAGUUGGACUGCUUGUUUGUUCCAACUCGCCCGUUCGGAGGGUUGGAUGACUUGUCCGGUCCAACACGCCGAACGGGCGAGUUGAAUGACUUGUUCGGUCAUUAGUAGCUAAAACGACCUCCAAAGUCAAGCUACUAUAACAAAGCGCUGAGUGGGAGACAACCCACUCUUAGGAAAUUUCUUUUAGUUUUAUUAUUUAUAUAUUAUUUAUUGCAGGUCUAAAAAACAUAUACGUAUAUAGAAAACCAGAAAAACCAAAAAGAGAACCAAGGAGAGGUAACUUGUCAUCGACCGAUGAGACAAGGUCGACAUCAAUCGACAGUACAACACCAACACCGAUCGAUAGACACACUCUCGUGUCGAUCGAGAACGACAUCAGGUAUAUCGUUCUCCUUGUUACAUUCAAUUCUUAUGAUUUAUAUUCUCACCAAACUUCGACUAGAUAUACAAAGGGGAUAGUAUAAUUUAAGUCUGGGGGGGGGGGGGGUGGAGAUCUACUAAUAUUAUUUAUAUAUGUGCUUUUAAAAUGUUUUUUAUAUUUUUACUGAGUCAAGAAAGAGACAAUGAACUUCUACAAUUUUUUUCACUCAUCUAACCACUCUUUAGCACCAUUCUUAGAUUUAUUGACUGCGGAAUGUACUAUAGAUGCUAAAGUGGAUCAGCAUGCCAGUUAUUCACACUUGCUGAGAAUGUUUGGAAGAACCAAAGCUGACCUCCAACCUAAUUGAGCUUAACUUGCUUGUCUUGGGGCUUAGUAUACAUUGGAUCGGAAUCCUCCUGCAAACCUGGAAGGUAUUAGACUUAAUGUCACUAAUUUUCCUUCCACCUCUCUUUGGCAUCCAUAUAUAUUUAUAAGAGAUUGAGGUGAUUUUCUGAGACGCAGAGGGGUAGGUACAUUACCUAUGAUCCCAUUAUUCUAAUUCAAAGAAAUGAUCACACAUUGUUUGGAAACGAGGGGUAAUGUAUCGAUGACCCCACUAUUCGCCUACAACUUUGGAAAAAAAAAAAUUGGAUUCAGAGAAGAGAGAAGAAAGAAAGGAAAUCAGAAAAGGUUACCUACAAAUCCAGAUACUUGCUUGAGUUGAUUCCAUGUGUUCAGUGAUCGAUAUUCCCAAGGUAAAGCCUACACCUUGUUACAUUCAAUACUUAUGAUUUAUAAUCUCACCAAACUUCGACUAGAUAUACAUUGGGGAUAGUGUAAUUUAAGUCUGGGGGGAGGUUUACUAAUAUUAUUUAUAUAUGAGUUUUUAAAAUGUUUUUUAUAAAGUUUAAUUCAAUCAAGAAAGGGACAAAUGAACUUCUAUAAUUUUUCUCACUCAUCUAACCACUUUUUUAGCACCAUUCUUAGAUUUAUUGACUGCAUAAUGUACAAUAGAUGCUAAGGAGGAUCAGCCUGCUAGUUAUUCACACUUGCUGAGAAUGUUUGGAAGAACCAAAGCUGACCUCCAACCUAAUUGAGCUUAACUUGCUGGUCUUGGGGCUUGGUAUACAUUAGAUCAGAAUCCUCAUGCAAGCCUUGAAGGUAUUAGACUUAGUGUCACUAUUUUUCUUUCCACCUCUCUUUGGUAUCCAUAUAUAUUUAUAAAAGAUUGAGAUGAUUUCCUGAGAUAUUGAGGGGUAGGUACAUUACCUAUGACCCCACUAUUCUAAUUCAAAGAAAUGAUCACACAUUGUUUGGAAGCGAAGGGUAGAUACAUUAUCGAUGACUCCACUACUCGCCUACAACUUUGCAAAAAAAAAAAUCGGAUUAAGAGAAGAGAGAAGAGAGAAGGGAAAUCAGAAAAGGUUACCUGCAAAUCCAGAUACUUGCUUGAGUUGAUUCCAUGUAUUCAGUGAUCGAUACUCCCAAGGUAAAGCCCACACCUUUUUAUUUACAUGCACUAAAUGAGGUCAGUAGAGAUGUUAGUCAAACAUGAUUAGUUAAGUUGUUGGAUGAAUGGAAUUGGUUGCUCAGCUAGGAUAUUGCAUUAGAAGUACUUCUAAGUUAAGAUUUAUUUGAUGUGGUUGCAAUACUGUUGAGGUGAUGAUAGUAAUUUCUUAAUCUAUGUGAGUCCCUGUUGUUUCAAAAACACCUUUCAGAGAGACUGCUCAUUGUUUUUGCUUGAGGACAAGCAAAAGAGUAAGUCUGGAGAUGUUGAUAUACCAUCGAUUUUACCCAUUUUUAGCCAUGGUAUAUAGGUGUUUUUAAAUACCUUAUAGUUGUUUUGGAGUCUUUUUAGUAUGAUUUCAAGUUUUCGAGUGAUUUGGAGAAAAGUGGUGAUUUUGGUGCAUUUUGGAGAGAAAAUGACAAAGGCCCGAAGUUGACCAUCGACCACGACUAUCGAUCGAUGGGCGAAGGCAACAAUUACUCGACACAGACCCUGUGGUGUCGAUCGACGGCCAAGCACGUAGAAUCCAGAUUGGGUUCCAGCUGACUUAAAUCCCAAGUCCCACAAGAAUUACCAGAUUACCCCUGACGAGUUUGAUAUACCAUGGAUUUUACCCAUUAUUAGCCAUGGUAUAUAGGUGUUUUAAGAUAUAUUUACUACUAUAUAGAGUCUAUUUAGAGUGUUUACAGGUUCAGGUACGUUCUGGAAAAUAUGGUGAUUUUGAAGCCUUUUGAGGGUAGAACUGCACAGACAUGUCAGAUGUUUAGCUAUGGAUGAAGACCUUCCCAGUGUUAGAUGGAGCCCAUCUUUUGUGAGGUCAAUCAGCAUCAUGUAGCAGAAGUUAUGCAUGUUUUACUGAAGAGUGGUAAGUCUGCCUCGCGAGAGGUAGCUGUCGAGGAGAUGAAUGAAUGUCGAUCGACGGUGCAUCCAUAAUGUCGAUCGACAGUGAUCCCAGAAAAGAGGUCAAGCUUGUUCUAUGACCAAUUUAGGCCCAGAAGUUACCACAUAUAACCAAUAUACCCCUAGACGACCUGAAACCCUAUUUUACUGUUUUCUAAGUCAUUGUUAACGGCUAUGCUUCAAACUAUUCCAAAGAGAGAAAAAUUACAUUUGGAGAGAGAUUUGUACACCUUGAGAGAGAGAAGCUCUUGAACUUCUUUGCUUUCAUUACUCUAUUUAUUGUUUCUCCUGCUAUUCAUUUAUAAAGUAUUAUUCAGACCAUCAUAACCAUGUUUCUUAUGAAUAUGUUUGAGUAGUCUUACUGUUAGAUUUAGAUUUCUCAAUAGGUUGAUAAAUUUAUUACUGACUUAAACUGUUGUUAGGGUGUUUAAAAUAAUAGUUAUUUAUCUAGUUGUUCUUAAAUCUAAGUUUAGGAUUAAUCACCGUUUAAACUUAGAUCUUAGGAUUAGUUGAGAUCAAGCCAUUGCUUGACUCAAUACUUGGAAAUAAACUAGUAUGAUCUAACUGACUAGAUACAAACGAGAGUUGAUCUAGUAAGUUAGAAAAUAUAAAAUCAAACAUGUUCGUAAAGCUCUCUGGAAAAAGCAUCGAUCGAUGCGGCGAUAGUUCUUUCAAUCGUUAUUUUGAAAGGUGUAUCGAUCGAUAUUCUUAAUGAAUCAUCGAUCGACACUUUCUCGCGGUUAACACACGAUAGUUGAAAUCCGAGAUCCAAAUUAGAUGAUCAAAUUGAUUAUAUCUGAGAUUGAAUUCAAGAAAAAUUAAUAUCAAUAAACCCCUAAAAAUCCAAAUUAAGUUAUUUACUUAUCACACCUGAGAAUAUACAUGAAUCUAGCUAUUCUCCCAACUGUUAACAACCUCAAAACAAACCAAUCGAGCAAUAACCUUGCUCACCAAUUCAUUUACUGCUUUAAAACCUAUAAACCUUUUAAUAUAGUCUUAGUUCAAAGACUAUAAAUCUAUUGUGUAAUCCUAGAGUUUUUGUGGAUUCGAUCCCUAAGUACUACAUCUGAACCUCUUAGAGUAAUUCACUCCUUAGGGUAAUUUGAGUGAUAUCAGAGUUUUAACCUAAUAUUUUGUGUUCGGCCAUUGUUCUAGGCAACACACGCUUUCAUACUUUCUACUUUUCAUACAUCAAAACAUUUAGAGUCUUAGGUUCGGAGAGAAAAUCCAAGAACUCCUCCAGAACUUUGUAAUUGGAACUCAAGUUUCUUUAUUUAUGCAAUUUACUUAUUCUAUUGUUAUGAAUUGCUUAGCCAUGUCUGAGUAGAUCACCAUGUUAGAUUCAGGGUUCAGAUAUUCAUGAGGGAUUAGCCCAAAAUAUAGAAUUGGUAAGUGUUAUGAUAUUAAUCAACUAAACUGUUCUUAAUGCCUAUGUUCUAAAAUAGCUAACUAGGACUUUUCCUAUAGACAUUAGGGCGCAUUCGGAAGUUUGGUUCUUUGUCUGAAAUAGUUUAGGUUGUGCUAGGAUAGCUAGAAACAAGCGGAAGCUGAUUUAGUUAACCUAGUGAAUGCGUUCAAACCCAUUCGUAACACUCCCUGGAAGGAACGUUGAUCGACAACUCAUUAGUUGUAUCGAUCGACAGGCUGAAAGGUGCAUUGAUCGACAUCCCGUAUAUGUUUGAGUUCUAAAAUAUCCACAUAUGCUUAGUAGUCUAUAUCUCUAUAAUCCUGAUUGUCUGAAUAGAAACCCAAAGUUUAACGUUUCUUAUAUCUAUCUUAAAACCCAAUCAACCAAUCAAUCAAAAAUUACUUGUUCACACCUACUAUUUACUGCUUUAAAACCAUUCAACCAAGCUUAACUACAUAACUAGAUAGAUCUAUUGUGUGUCUUAGCUCUCUGUGAAUUCGAUCCCUAAGUACUACAAUUGAACCUCUUAUUUGAGAGAGUAAAUCACUCCUUAGAGUAAUUUUAGUGAUAUCACAAUGGCGAGUUAGAUCCACCAAUUCAAAUAGCCAUUGGGCAAGAUGGAUGAACCACAUCGAACUCGCCCAAUGGCGAGUUAAAUCGACCAAUCUAACUCGCCACUGGGCGAGUUGGACACACCACAUCCAACUUUCCCAAUGGCGAGUUGGAUCAAGCAAUCCAACACGCCAUUGGGCGAGUUGGACCCACCACAUCCAACUCGCCCAAUGGCGAGUUGGAUCAAUCUCGUCCAAUUUUCCAUCAGGCAACUUGGAUCAUUCCCACACCAUGCACUCUCGUCUGUGGAACUCUCUCUUUCGGGUCUCGAUCAAAUUGUCUCUUGUUUCGUCUCGAUCGAAGUUACCGUUAAAAUUUUACGUUAAAAAUGACAAAGACUUCUUUUCUCGUAUGAAUUUGAAUCAAUUGAAUAAAACGAUACCGGUUACCUUAACACCAUAGUUUUCUCAACUAUACGACUGGUUUCUGGUAUUUUGUAAAACCAACAUCGUAAAGAAGGCAAUUUCUCCGAAAGAAAUCAUAAAAAACGUUUUACUCAAAAAAUGGCCCAAAGGGUCUAAAACGCGGCAAAAAUCCACUUACGAUUUUUUACAAGAAUCGGCCCAAAAUCACCAUGACGGUUUAUUGAAUAUUUACGAAAGAAGAUAAAUGUCAAGUUCGAAGAUAAAUGACAAGUUUCAAGGGAUAAUCAUGAAGAUUGAGAAAAUGGAAUAUUUUAGCGAGGAGAUAAACUUGAAUCAAGGGCAGAAAAGGAAAGACGGCGGACCAUGGAGGCAUAUCUAAGGGUAGCCAAGGAAAGAAGCGCAUGGAAAUUUUUUUUUUUUAGCACUCUUUGCACUUAGAAACUCCAUAUAUUAUUCUCGACAUGUUAUUUUUCUAUGAUUGGCACUCGAUUACUAGACGAACUCGCACAAGAACUUCGAUCUCCUAGUUCACUCUUUCAAUUGAAAUACGUUUGGCUUGAUCCUCGAAAGAGGUAUGUAAGCAGCCUUUCAUAAGGUUCAGUCUGAAAUCAAUCAAAACCUUUUUCGUAUCUUUUUUCGUCUUUCGUUAUCGAGUUGCAACUGAAAUAGGUUUAAGGUUUUAUGUGGCUAGAACUAGGUAACUCGCUAACAGCUCUUACGGCCAAAGAUUUUAUAAUCUUUUGUGAUGAUCGCAAUGCUCUUACGCGAAUUUGAAAUAAGAUCUACUUUUUCUAUAAAUUCAAUUUGAUGUCUUUUCAUAUUUUCUACAUUUAUUUGUCACUUUUCGUUGGCUCUCGUAGAUGUUGGGGUCAAAAACAGUCACGACGAAGUUAACAUCCAAAUCUCCGUAAAAAUCAGCAUGAACAUUUUUUACGAAAGAGCCUUGUGGUAAAAUCUUGUUUCAAUCUCAAUCGAACCACUAAACAGCGAUUGUCAGAAGGCAACGAACAAAAAUCCAAAUCGGCCACGGAUAAGCUCAAGUAUGGCAUUCGGACCGCGCACAAGCCAAGCUCGGUCGCUACGUAGCGACCGACCUCCAGCCAAGCUCGAUCGCUACUUAGCGACCGAGCACGUACACAGCGACCGAGCUCCGACCAAGCUUUUAUUGUCUACUCUUUAAUGCUAGCUCCCGUAAGCCAUGGCUAAACCAUUAUUUGUUUCUCAUCACUCGAAGUCAUCAGUCAAACUUUACGAUAAAAACCGCGGGAAGUUUGUUUAUAUCAAAGAAACAGUAAUAAACGUUUCAAUUCAAAGAUGGCCCAAAUAGACCUAAAACAUAACUCGAAGCCCACUUACGAUUCCUUAACCAAAAACCAAUAAGCCUUAUGACGGUUUAUGCUUGGUUCGUAAGACAAGACAAAUGUCAAAUUUCCGCGGACAAAUGUGAAGUUUCCGAAGAUAAUCACGAAGACCGGGUAAAUUGGAAUAUCUCCAUUUUUGAGCUAUGACUUCUUAAGGGCAGAAGGGGAAAAGCUAAAACCAACUUUGGAGGAGUAUAUAAGGAGUCCUAGGCGAGAGGCACAAGAGAGAACUUUUUCACAGCAAACUUAGCACUUAGAGCAGUUUAUGCAAUUUUCCGUUUUUGUUAUUCGAGCUGCGACUCAAUUAGAUUUAGCAGCUUUAGGGUUUUAGAACUACGAAUCUCGCCAACAACUCUCGUUGCCCAGGUUUUUACCUUGUUGUAACGCUAAAACGCGAAUUCAGAAUAAAACGUACUUUGCUCUCUUUUCGAUUUAUUAUCAUUUCUAGUCUUUAUUUUGUGUUCUGAUUGCUUGGCGUGUGUUUCCCACAGUUUGGCGCUAGAAGGAGGGGGGUACGGAUCAAUCUAACUCUCAGCCACAAAACACUUGAUCAAAACAAUGUCUGGAAAUACAAAAGACAAAAUCGCAGUUCGCAACAACGCUGGUAAGACAACCCCACUGCGCCUGUGGCCAACAAUUACGCAAAUGCCACAGUGCCUGAAAAAAAUCGCGAUUUUUCGCCACAGGAAGUGCUACGAAACGAGCUCGCGAUUUCUCUGUCUAAACAUAAAGGGAAACGAUAAAGUUUAUCAAACCCCGUAAGUUUGGCUCAUUACCGAGUUAAAGAAGUCUCAAUGCAUAAGGGUUUUACCAAAACACGUUUUUUGAAAACUUUUCGGAAAAGUAAAACUGGUUCUCCCAAAAACUGCAGAAAACCCCUAGGUUAAUCGCGGAAAAAGGAAGCGCAGCAAAUCGAUUACGAAACCCCCACGGCUGUACUUCUUCCAAAUAACUUUCAGAGAAACAAAGUUGAUUUCUUAAAAAUCAUUCGAAACCUAAAAACGGUUGACGGAGACGAAACAAAGCAAAACGGGAGAUCGUUUUCCUCACUGCUAAAACAUUUUCUGAAACCUAAGGUUUCAUAAAAUACUUAAGAAUCGUUUCUAUGGUAACAUAAAUCGUCGAAUUCGAGCUUAUUACGGCAAAAUUACUCAGAACUUCCUCCGAUCAAUCCUGCAGAAAACGAGAAAAUUUCUGAUUAAGUUGAGUCGCAAUAAAUUAAGCUCGUCAAAGCCAAAAUUUAUGAAACUUGAACCCAGAAACUAAAGUUGCAGAAGAGCCGCAAAACAUUACUUUUCCGAAAAAGGGCUCUCCCAUAGCCGAACUCGAAAACAUGUUUACGAAACAGCUUUCGUAAAUUUAAACUCAUAUUAGUUUUGCAGAAUAACUUUCUUAAAAUUAAGCUUGACAACUUUUUACGAGACAGCUUUCGUCAAUCCGAACUCGAAAACAUGUUUACGAAACAGCUUUCGUAAAAUUAAACUCAUAAUAGUUUUGCGGAAUAACUUUCUUAAAAUUAAGCUUGACAACAUUUUACGAGAUUGCUUUCGUCAAUCUGAACUCGAUAACAUUUUACGAAACAUCAUUCGCAAAGUGAAAAGAGUCAAUAUUUUUUACACAGCUUUCGUAAAAUUAAACUCGAAAAUGUUUUACGGAACAUCAUUUGCAAAGUGAAAAGAGUCAAUAUUUAAUGAUGAGGCUUUCGCAGCAUUUACGAAAUGACCGCAUCAACAUAUCAUCAAAACUCGAGUUAGACCAGCCAGUGCCCAAACCUGGUCGCUACAUAGCGACCUGUCUGGCCUCAAAAAGGUCUUCCUUUGCAUUCUCUUUUGAAUCCUGAUCGAAACGUUUUUCGUUUCGUCUAAAUUAGAAUUUCUGUUGAGAUUUUACGAUGAAAACAAGUUAGACUCGUCUAAACUUCUUGGCUUGCUCCUACUCGCUACAUAGCGACCUGUCAGACCUCCAACUCUCUAGUAGCGACCUGUCAGGCCUCAAAAAGGUCCUCCUUUGCGUUCUCUUUUGAAUUCUCAUUGAAACGCUUUUCGUUUCGUCUCAAUUGGAAUUUCCGUUUAAAUUUUACGACGAAAACAAGUUAAACUCGUCUAAACUUCUUGGCUUGCUCUUACUCGCUACAUAGCAACCUGUGAGGCCUCAAAAAGAUCCUCCUUUCCGUUCUCUUUUGAAUCCCGAUUGAAACGCUUUUGUUUUGUCUCAAUCAGAGUUUACGUUGAGAUUUUACGACGAAAACAAGUAAGACUCGUCUAAAACUCCUUGGCUUCUUCCUACUCGCCCUUACCUCCAUCUUUGCGUUCUCCUUUGAAUCUCGAUCGAAACGUCUCUUGUGUCAUCUCGAUAGGAGUUACCAUUGAAACUUCACGAUAAAAAACCGCAAAGACUUGUUUUCUCGCAUGGAUUCAAAUUAAUCAUAUAAAACGGCAACAGUAAACUUAACACCUUAACCGCCUUAACUAUACGAUUACGCUGAACCUUUUUAUAAAAAUUGACGUCAUAUCUAAGGAGAAGAUAACAUUCAAGUUCAGAAAGAUAAAUGUCAAGUUUUAAAGGAUAAACACCAAUAUCAAAAAUGGCGAACAUACACGAGAAGACGAAGGGGAAAUAAGCAACCAAAACUGAGAAGAGACAAAACUGCAUCUCCGAGAACACUAAGGUAUGUCCGACUUGUUUCAAGAUCAAACUUGGAAUUUUCGUAGGAAGGUACUAAGCAAUAAAACUCUUUUGAGACUGCCAUAGAAUUUUAGGAAACUUAAAACUUAGGUGGAUAGUCUAGUGAACUAAGUCAUAGACAAUUUUUCCUAUUGCUCUUCAAUUGCUCUGGCAGAUCUUGCUAACCAAUCUAAACUCUCGCAAAAACGAGAAACGAUUGCCACGCAUACUUAGCUCGCUUCCCAAAAAAAAACAAAAAAAACUAGGGAGACGCACAUCAUCUUAAAAUCGAUUCGUUCCUAGCAACUUUCUUAAAAACGACAUAUUCCAAGUUUUCAACCUGAAAACCACCAAGUCGGAAUCCUAGCGUCGUCUUUAAACCGACCCAGACUGUCGGUCAUUCUAUUCCUCAAAAAAAAGGAGGGAGUUGGUACGUAUACUAUACUCGCAUACUCCAUUACUUCAAAAAAAACAUUUUGCCUCGGCAUAAAAAAAAUACUUUUGACAAAGUAAAUUCUCGCAGCGGUAGGCAGAAAACACUUAGGCAAUCGGAUGCCUCAAUAAAAUUGUCCCAAUAGGCAAAGAUUUGUAUAAACGCCAACAACAUAUCUAAAACAUCACAAGCAAAAUCUCGAGGACUAUACAGCACCUCUUAUUGCGAUCAUGCGUUUAGAAAACUUGUACCAAUAUUAAACUAAAACUCGACGAUUAGCCAAACUCUGGAAGACCCUUUCGACUUAAAUAAAAUGAGUUUCGUAUAAAAGUCAAAAAUUAUACGAGAAAAUCUUCAACCACCAGCAUUGCUUUCAGUUUCCGCUGAACCUGGAGUGAUUCCAAGGAAAUCUCACCAAAGAUCGAAAUCAAAGCAGAAACAUGUCCCAUAAAGUCUCCGGAAACAUCGCUACUUUGACAUAUCCGAUCUACUAUCAUCGUAGAGCGCUGACUUCUACGUUUCACUUCCCUCGGAUAUAUCCAAGCAGGAAAUAACCUCGAAACUGACUCUGCACGGGUUCUGGGUCGAGACUUUUAGCCUUCGUCUCCCUCGGAUAAAAAGGAAACAAUUUUCAUACGACUAAAGAAAACAUUAUACGAAAUUUUCGUCGUAUAACUUAAGCCUAAAGAAAAUAUCGUUUUCUACACCCAUGGACCAUCUUAAAACAUAAAAGCUCCGGCCUACUUGGCAUAUCAUUCUCAACAAACGCCCUUUGGCCCUCGGCUAACUACACCUUUCCGUAUAGCCUGAACCAAAAUUUGGCAUCCCUUUAAGGAAAAAUCGUAAACUAACACGGCUUUGGUGCUACCACAAAAGUGUCAUGGUUUAAUCCUUUACCAACAACGUCCUCGGCUUUAAAUCUGAGCACAGCCUUCAUGCAAAGCCAAAACAAUGAACGACCACCGCUCAAAUAACUUGACGGCUAAACGGUAAUCCGCAAUUUGUCUUGAAACGCCUUGUAACGAUUACACAAACAAUUAUCGUAUGACCCAGAAACGGGAAUCAUACGGUAAAUUCGUCAUCACAAAACUCAGUCCUCACAACCAAACAGUUAAAGAAAAAGGUUGAACUUGUCAAAAAUCGACCAAGUUCCAUAUACUACGAUUCACUUUAAGCUUGUUGUGUUUUACUCGUAAAAUGCAGCAUGUAAGGAAAACUCGUAACAAAGCUCCUAUAGCUAUACGAAACAUCCUCAAAUAUACACGAAAGAAAUCUCGGAAGGCCAACACCUCACAAAACACAGUAUAGGAGGAUGCCUCUUUCCGGGGACAAAUUUACGCGACCCCUUGGUCCUAACUCCUUGAUCGCAAAUCAAAUCCAAACAGGAACUACAAUUUUGGCUGCGAACAUCCGUAGACAAACCAAAAUGUUUCUCAAACGCAUGGUUAAGACUAAACCCUUGCAAUACUGCAUAACAUCUUCAAGCCCACGAACAUUUUGAGCACGAAACGCAGCAUACGAAAGAGAAACCAAUCUUCAGCAUUGCGAGACGUCGCAGACGCUUGAAGAAACAUUUUUCGACAAAAAUUCCUUCCUUGAUAAAAACAACAUCUUGGAGGACCAAACAAUCAUAGGCACUAACACCCUCUUAAAACACGUAUCCUUCGCGAAGAUUCAAAAACGGUAAUAUCUAUCAAUAAGUUUGUUGCUGAUCACAACAAACUCUUAACAGUCCUAAACAGACUUAGCCAUCUCGUAGAGAUAGCUCUCAUACACCCGACACAAGGGUAAUAGCGCUAUGAAAGAAAUCAAAAAUUUUGGUCAGUACUUCCAGGAGACUUAGAAAUUGUCCUUGGAGAGAUGCUCGGUUACAACCAUACAAGUCGUAUAAGCCGAGAACCUAUCACGGACUUUAAAUCGGUAUGGAAUCAGGUUGAAACUAUAACGGGAUAUGUAAGCCGAAUUAGUCAUCGCACCCCCCCUAAAACCAGAAGUAAGCCUAGGUCUUGCCCUAAACCCAGCACACUGGUCUCUAAUAUCUCUAGGCAUGAUAUCAAAAGAUACGAGAUCCCAAAAUAUGUCUCUUCGCUUGUAUUCCAAUGUUCAUGAAGUUCCGAAAACAAAAAAUUUCGUACAUCUAAAACGAACAAUGAAUAUAACGAUCUACAAAUAGUUAGAUAUGAGAUGACAACUCAUACUCUUCCCUCUACAAUCGAACGAAUACAAACAUGUUUUUAAAACGCGAAACACAAUUUAUUAAAAAAGUGGCAAAGCGGCUGGGAUUCGAAGCCACAAACUUUCAGUCCCGAAAACAAAAAUACGGCCACACUUGGCCAACGCAAACAGCCAACAAGGGUAGUUUCAAGCCCGGCAAAGGUCCGAUAUAAAAUGCCAUCAACAGCAACAUGCCUGAUAAUCUCUACAUGACACAUAGCUAAACUGUAAAUGUCUCAUUGGAAAACAGUCGUAAGCAUUUUAACUCCAAAACGAACUACGAAAGGCUUGAUCCCUUCGACAAGGGUACGUAGGCAGCCUUCAUAAGGCGCAGCCCCAAUAAAAAAAACUUUUCUGUAUAUGCAUAAGUUUUUCUUUGUCAAUGUUUGUCUACGAAUCUUUGGAUACGAACUUCGUCCAACAUGCCUAACUUGCCUAACCGCAUGCUAGAAUCUAAUCAAUGAUCCACGAUUCUAUCGGGCUGGGGGGUAACUGUUGGGGUCAAAAAUGGUCAUGACGAAGUUAACAUCCAAAUCACCGUAAAAAUCAGCAUGAAAUUUUUUUACGAAAGUUACUCUUCGUAAAAAGAAUCAUUACAAAGAGCCUUGCGGUAAAAUAUUGUUUCAAUCUCAAUCGAACCACUAAAUACAAAUUUUCCGAAGGCAACAGACACAUAUCCAAAUCGGCCACGGACAAGCUCAAGUAUUACCAUCGGACCACGCACAAGCCAAGCUCGGUUGCUACGUAGCGACUGAGCAUGUACACAGCUCGGUCACUACGUUACGACCGAGCACGUACACAGCUCGGUCGCUACGGUGCGACCGAGCACAUACACAGCUUGGUCGCUACGUAGCGACCGAGCUCUAGCCAAGCUCGGUCGCUACGUAGAGACCGGGCACGCACACGGCUCGGUCGCUACGUAGCGACCAAGCUCCAGCCAAGCUCGGUCGCUACGUAGCCACCAAGCACGUACACGGCUAGGUCGUUACGUAGCGACCGAGCACGCACACGUACACGACUCGGUCGCUAUGUAGCGACCGAGCUCCAGCAAGCUUUUAUCGUCUACUCUUUAAUGCUAUCUUCCGUAAGCCAUGGCUAAACCAUUCUUUGUUUCUCAUCACUCAAAGUCAUCAGUCAAACUUUACGAUAAAAACCACGGGAAGUUUGUUUUUAUCGAAGAAACAGUAAUAAACGUUUCGAGUCAAAGGCGGCCCAAAGAGACCUAAAACACAACUCGAAGCCCACUUACGAUUCCUUAACCAAAAACCAAUAAGCCUUAUGACGGGUUAUGAUUGGUUCGUAACGCAAGAUAAAUGUCAAGUUUCCGCAGACAAAUGUGAAGUUUCCGAAGAUAAUCACGAAGAUCGGGAAAAUCGGAAUAUCUCCAUUUUUGAGCUAUGACUUGUUAAGGGCUGAAGGGGAAAAGCUAAAACCGACUUUGGAGGAGUAUAUAAGAAGUUCUAGGGGAGAGGCACAGGAGAGAACUUUUUCACAGCAUACUUAGCACUUAAAGCAGUUUAGGUAAUUUUCCGUUAUUGUUAUUCGAGCUGCAACUCAAUUAGGUUUAGCAGCUUUAGGGUUUUAAAACUAGGAAUCUCGCCGACAGCUCUCGUAGCCCAGGCUUUUACCUUGUUGUAUUGCUCAAACGCGAAUUCGGAAUAAGACGUACUUUGCUCUCUUUUCGAUUUAUUAUCUUUUCUUGUCUUUAUUUCGUGUUUUGAUUGCUUGGCGUGUUGUUUUAGCAGAUAUCUGGGACCUCUGGGAAAUUAGGGUUCUCCUACUUUUUUUAUUUAAACGGAAAUCGACAGUGCAAAUUUCGGUUCCCACAUGAGAGAAUCUGAGUCCUCAAGGAAAGUGAAUUUUGGUUCGCACAAGGACUGGCCGGUAUCGAUCGAUAGUACAUCACCAGCAGCGAUCGAUCACCACUUCACUGUGUCGAUCGACACUAUUAUAAAUCGAGCAGGUAUAUCGUUUUCCUUGUUACACUGUGUACUUUUGAUUAUUUUUCCACCAAUCUUCGACUAAAUAACACUGUGGACAGUGUUGUUUAAGUAUUGGGGAGGUUUUAUUGAUAUUGUGCCUUAUUUUAAGUCGUAUUUCUAUUAAGUUCUACUAAGUUUCUAUUGAGUCAAGAAAGGAAUAAUGAUCUUAUUAGAAUUUAGUUGCUACUCUAGCCACUUUCUAGCACCAUCUAGAUUUAUUUAUUGCAUGAUGCAUUAGAUGGAAACACAACAGUGUAUCAUCUACCACUAACACCCACACCUGCUGAGAAUCUCUGGAGAAACUAAAGCUGACUUCCAACCUUAAUUAAUCCAAAUUGCUUGUUUUGGAGCUUGUUAUACAUUGGCUCAGAAUCCUCCUGCAAGUCCGGAAGGUAUUAGACUAAGUUUCUACGGUUCCCCUUUCACCUCUCUUCUACAUCCAUAUUAUAGAAAGCUUGAGAUGAUUUCUACAGAUGCGGAAGAGUAGGUACAUUACCUAUGACCCCACUAUUCUAAUUCAAAUGAAUGAUCACACAUCGUUGGAAGCGAGGGGUAGAUACAUUACUGAUAACCCCACUAUUUGCCUACACUUUGGCAAACAAAAAAAUCAGAUUCAAAGAAGAGAGAAGAUAAAGGAAAGAGUUACAUUUUGGCCAUGAUACUUUCUUGAUUUUACUUCAUGUGUCCCUUGAUCAAUACUCCCAAGAUGUAGGAUACACAUUUAUAUUUAUGCAGAAAUAAGGUUAGUAGAGGGGUAUGUCAGGCGCUAUCAGUAGAUUUUUGUGAUGUAUGAUAUGGUGACUAAACUAGAGUGUAGUACAUUGAAACAUCUCUGAGGUUAGUAUUGAAUCAUUAACACCUAUUCAUAUUUUCAGAAGUGAGAGUAGUGAUUUUAAAUAAUGUGAGUUCCUACUCUUUUCAAACCCUUUUCAAGUGAUUACUCUUUGUUUUCCCUAAGAACAAGUAAAGGGUAAGUCAGGGGGAGUUGAUAUACCAUGUAUUAUACCAGUUUUUAGCCAUGGUAUGUAGUUGCUUUAGAGUCUAUUUAUUGUUUUGAAGUCUUUUAGAGUCUUUACAGGUCUAGCUAGGUAUGUUUUGGAGCAAUGUGGAGAUUAUGGAGCAUUUUGGAGCUUAAGAUAAAAGAAACUCGUAGUUGUUCAAAAACCAGCCAGAGUCGACAUGCAGAUCGAGUGUCGAUCGACAAACAUCUCUUGUCGCCGAUCAACAGCGACGCGCGUAGAUGGGUCAACCUGUUCAAGGUCGACUUAAGCCCGAAGUUUCACAUAGUUACAAGACUGCCCUUGACCAACUUUUACCAAAUAUUUAUGUGCUUUGCCAUUGUAUUAGGCAACACACACUUUCUUAUUUUCUACUAUUCGCUGCAAACAGUUUUAUUCAGUGGAUUUGGAGAGAAGAUCGAAAACUCCUUCAAAGCUUGUCUAGGAACUCAUUGAUCUAUUAAGCUUAUUCUAUGUAUUUUGUUCAUACUAUUGCUACGUUCUGCUUUGCUAUAUCCGAGUUGUUUUCUUUGUUAGAUUUAGAGUUAAUUAGGGUUAUGAAGGAUUAGCUAAAACUAUAGAACUGCUAAGGUGAUAAAGAUAUCAAUAUAUUGAAUUAAUAGUUGCUAAGGUGAUAAAGAUAUCAAUAUAUUGAAUUGCUAGUAAUGCUUGUGUUCUAUAGUAGCAGGCCCAACCCAGUUCAUUUUAAUGCCUAAAGCAAAAAUUUAUUUGGUGCUCCUAGUUGAUUGAACCCAGCACCAAUGACCCCAUAAAAUGAUACUUAACCACUAACUAUAAGCAAACUUUGACAAUCCCCAGCUUUAUGUCAGGGCCGGUACUGUAUAGUAGUUAGCUAAAACCCUGAUCUUUGGAUUGUAGACAACUAUGACGGUGGGUUCUUCACUUGAAUUGAAUUUUUGAGCUAGGUUGCUUGAUACAUGCGACAACUGGAACAUUGGACUUAGAUAACAUAUUUAGACUCACAUGCGAAAGCAGGAUAUCUAUACAUCAGAAUUCGAUUUCUAGAAUAUCACAUACAUAUCUUAUGCAUUCUAUAUCUCUUUAAUCCUGAUUGUUAAAUCCUAGAUCUAGCUAUUUUCUCGUAUUUUUUCAAACCAACAGACCAAUCAAUCUACUUUGUUCUGAUUUAUGUACUGCUUUAAAAUCUAUUGCCUUGCUUAAUUUUUAACAGCUUUAAAUCUAUUGUGUGCCCUUUCUCCUUGUGGAUUUGAUCCCUAAGUACUACAACUUAACCUCUUUUUUUAGAGAGUAAAAUUGCUUUACGGUAAUUUGAGUAUAUCAACAGAUCUGAGUAUUUUGGUAAGUUUUCAUGUCUAAUGUUUUCUUCAUUUGGUAACCUCUUGUUGCUUCAAGCUCUUACUUUUUUCCAAAUUAUGUUCGGAGGAGCUGUCCGAUCCUCUGGUAAACAUAUCUGAGUGUGUUGAAGCUGAUGAAAGUUUCAGGUUUCAGGUUUUUGAAGACUUCAUGCAUGCGAAGUUUUCCUGGAAGACUUCCUCGAAGACUUCCUGCAUGUGAAGUCUUCCUGGAAGUCGUCCACGAAGUCUUCAAAAAUCUGCAACCUGAACAUGAGGACUAUCAUUGUUUAUGAUGUGUAUGUAAAAUGUAGUACAAGCUUAUCUAUGUGGAGGAAUGAUCUCUAACUCCAAGUUUCAUAGUUUUGUUUAUGGUUUGUAUGUGUAAUCUUUUUGUUAUGGAUUCUUUUGUAAAUUUGAAGAGAUGUCAAUGAAAAGAAUUAGGUAAAUAUGUUAAUAUCUACAAUAUUAUCUUGCUAAAACUACUUGAGAUUAUUAAAGUUAUAUACAGUAGAAACUCUAUGAGUUAAUACUCGGUAAAUUAAUAAACACUGUAAAUUAAUAAAAUUUCUUGAUCCCAAGUUUGGCCGAUUCAGAAUAUGAAAAAAAAUCGAUAAAAAUAAUAAGAUACUAAUUUGUGGAAAGUCCUAUAUAAAUAUUUGGUCCCACUAAAAUCAUAAAUUACUAAUAUGUCUAUCUAUAUAUUUUAUAUAAAUACAAACUAAAAAUUAUAUUGUUGGUUUUUAUAUUUACAAUUAAAAUACAUAUAUUUUCAUAAAAUUUCAUAAAAUUUCAAUAUAUUUUGAUAAUAUUUUAGUAAAAUAUAAAGAAAACCACAUUUAAAUUCUAUGAAACAUAAAAAUAUACACCAAAUAAUAUAAUAAAACAAGAUAAAAGCCAAGUUUCUAAAAUUUAAUUAAUGUUUAUACCUAGAAUCAAAUAUUUUCUUAUUUUAUAAAUAAAAAUAUAAAAAUUAUAAAAAAUAAAAGCUUUUGUAAGUUAAUAACUCCAUAAAUUAAGAAAAUACCAUAUUCUCAAUAUUAAUAAUCUAGAGUUUUUACUGUACAACUUUGAUAGCAAAACACAAUAACACAAAAUUUAGUCAAAUUUACUAAAACUAAAGGAGAAAACUACUAAAAACAUAGUUAAAUUCACAAAAGAUCAAACAUUACAUAAGAGAAGAACAUAUAACACAUUAACUAGAAGUCUUCUCAGAAUACUUAAAUUUUAAGCAGAAAAUUAAAACAAGAAAUUAAAAUUAAGCGUCACAUUAAACCAUAUGACUUGAUAUUUUUGAAAUUAUUUAACACUUUUGAAAGUUAAAAAAAAAAUAUCUUAAAAUUAUUUAACACUCUUAAGAAUACAAGUUUACAAAAAGUAACGAAGAAGACUUUCAAGAAAGUCUUCUCCCAUAAGACUUCCUGGAUUAGCUGGAAACGUUAAUAAACAUGAAUGUUGGUACCUCAUGACUAUCACCAAUUAAAUUAUCAAUUUUAUUCAGUAGCCCCAAUAAUGACUAAUAUACAUGAAUUAAAAAGAAAAUGUUAAAAAAUCUUUAUACUUUUAGAGAAAUAUUAAACAUUGACAUAGAAGACUUCUAGAAAGUCUUCCAUUAAGGUCAUUUUGCAAUUGAAAAUUUACAAUGAAUGACUUCCAAAAAAGUUUACUCUAGAUCAGAAUUCUCUCGAAAUCUUUCUUUGCAAAUAUUGGUUUACUUUUGUUUUCAAAAAAAAAAACUUGAAAAUACCAGAGAAGACUUAUAGUGAAGUCUACUCGGAUAAUCAGAUUAAUUUUGCAACUGACUGAAUUGUGUCAGAAAUUUUAGUUUCUCUAGAUGAUUUCUCUAUAGAAGAUUUUCAGGGAAGGUCAUCUCAAUUAUCAGAAUAAAAAUCGGGACGACUUCCAAGAAGUCUUCCCAGUAGAAGACUUACAUAUAAGUUUUCUAAUAAAAAUUAAAUAUUUAAAUUUUAUUUAUCAAUUGCAUAAGUAACCUAAGACCACUUCUAACGAUAGUGAUAAGACUUCUACUGACAGUUGAGACGAUUUUUCUGGAAGUCUUAUGUAGGGAAAUUUUAGAGAAUGUCAUGUCACAAUUGGUCAAUUGCAAAAUUAACAUGUUUAUCCAAGAAGAGUUCCCGGUAAGUCUUCUCAUUUUUUUGUUAAAAAAAGUUCAAAGACUUCCAGAGAAGUCGUCUCUAAAAGACACACCAAAAGUCAAUUGCAAAACUAACCUAUGCAUUGACCAUAAGACUUCCUUAUAAGUCUUCUCUGACAAGAAGACUUAUACGGAAGUCUUCUUUGGUGAACUGAUCUGAAAAUAUUAAAAGAUCGUUGUUAGAUCCAAUGAGAUUCAUGUUUAGCUUUUCCAAAGACACAUCACUUUUUAAUGAAAGUUAUUCACUCGCUCUUGACCAAGAAUCAUUAACUUAAGUAACUCGAAUAAGCUUAUAAAUUUUAAAGAAAAACUUUGAAUUUUGGGAUGAAAUAAGAAAGGAAGUGAAAAGGAAAUGAUUUUUGUGUGUAAAAAAUAAGAGUAUGAAUAUGUAGAUGUUGAUUUUAGGUGCAUUUAGAGUUUGAAAUUGGUUGUUCAUAGUGGUUUAUGUAUUGAUUACAAUAGCAAUAUUGUAAAUAAAAAAGGAAGACGAGGAUGAUUGAGUAAAACUAGCAUUUUCGAAAAAAUAGAAAAAAAAUAAUGGCAUUUUCGUAAUUCGAAUUUAUAAGGUGAAUAGGACAAAUGAAAGUUUCAAAAAAUCAUGGUUUAGCUUUACAUUUGAUUUUUUUGUUUUGAGUCAUUUUUGUAAAAAUCCCAUUAAAUUUUGAAUAAAAAUACGUGUUUUUAAAACCUAGGAGAAAACCUUGUUUUUUUUUUUAUUAUAACAGAGGUUCGAUUAAUUUUAAGACAACGACAUUUAUUUAGUAAGAUGAAUGAAGAUAUAUAAUCCAUAAACACAAAGUAAUAAAUUCAGAAAAAUAACUUGCAAAAGCAAGACUACUCCUUUUAUAAGAAAAUACAAUACGAAUAAUGGUGUCGCUAAUAAGAAAAAUAAAUCAGGAAUAUAGAUGAAAUGCAAAGGCUAAUGGAA